CAAAAACUGUUGGCUUAAAUGGGCCAACAUCCUACACUGUGACGGGAGACCAUAUAGAUCGAGUCAUGUUCGAAAUGGCGUAAGACUGGGUUGGGCUGAGUCAUAUUCGAAGUGGCGUGAGGCUGGUUGGACCGAGUCACAAUCGAGACCUGUGGGCGCUAUUUCUGUAUGCUUUAAGUGAAUUGAUUGUGUAUUUCUAACAGCUUGAGCUUUUAGGAUUAAUGGUUAGCACCAACAAUCCGACACGUGGUAUUAGAACCAAAAGUCACUAAUUUGAUUCCCGCAUGCUGUAAAUAUGUUCAGCUGCUGGAUGGGGGAUUGUUGGCUUAAAUGGGCCAACAUACCUCUCUGUGGUGGGAGGUCAUGUGGACCAAGUCACAAUCGACACCCGUGGGCACUGUAUCUGUACGGUUUAAAUAUCCGUGGGCGCUGCCUUUGGAAUUAAUGGUUAGCAUCAACGAGCUAACAAAAACCUCUCAAGUGAUAACAAAUCCUCUCUCUCUCUCUCUCUCUCUCUCUCUCUCUCUCUCUCUCUAA
rnacentral:lncRNA from 1 species